AAUAGAUACCCGGGUAGUCCACGCCGUAAACGAUGAGUGCUAAGUGUUAGAGGGUUUCCGCCCUUUAGUGCUGCAGCUAACGCAUUAAGCACUCCGCCUGGGGAGUACGGCCGCAAGGCUGAAACUCAAAGGAAUUGACGGGGGCCCGCACAAGCGGUGGAGCAUGUGGUUUAAUUCGAAGCAACGCGAAGAACCUUACCAGGCCUUGACAUCCUCUGCCAACCCUAAAGAUAGGGCGUUCCCCCUUCGGGGGACAGAGUGACAGGUGGUGCAUGGUUGUCGUCAGCUCGUGUCGUGAGAUGUUGGGUUAAGUCCCGCAACGAGCGCAACCCUUGAUCUUAGUUGCCAGCAUUCAGUUGGGCACUCUAAGGUGACUGCCGGUGACAAACCGGAGGAAGGUGGGGAUGGACGUCAAAUCAUCAUGCCCCUUAUGACCUGGGUCUACACACGUGCUACAAUGGAUGGUACAAAGAGCUGCGAACCCGCGAGGGUAAGCGAAUCUCAAUAAAGACCAUUCUCAGUUCGGAUUGUAGGUCUGA
rnacentral:rRNA from 1 species